UUAAUUGAAGAGUUUGAUCAUGGCUCAGAUUGAACGCUGGCGGCAGGCCUAACACAUGCAAGUCGAGCGGCAGCGACUUAACUGAACCUUCGGGGAACGUUAAGGGCGGCGAGCGGCGGACGGGUGAGUAAUGCCUGGGAAUAUGCCCUGAUGUGGGGGAUAACUAUUGGAAACGAUAGCUAAUACCGCAUAAUCUCUUCGGAGCAAAGAGGGGGACCUUCGGGCCUCUCGCGUCAGGAUUAGCCCAGGUGGGAUUAGCUUGUUGGUGAGGUAAUGGCUCACCAAGGCAACGAUCCCUAGCUGGUCUGAGAGGAUGAUCAGCCACACUGGAAC
rnacentral:rRNA from 1 species